rnacentral:rRNA from 1 species
GGAGUUAGCCGGUGCUUCUUCUGUGAGUGAUGUCCUUCCUGCCGGCUAUUAACCCGCAGGCCUUCUUCCUCACUGAAAGUGCUUUACAACCCGAAGGCCUUCUUCACACACGCGGCAUGGCUGGAUCAGGGUUGCCCCCAUUGUCCAAUAUUCCCCACUGCUGCCUCCCGUAGGAGUCUGGGCCGUGUCUCAGUCCCAGUGUGGCUGAUCAUCCUCUCAGACCAGCUACGGAUCGUCGCCUUGGUGAGCCGUUACCUCACCAACCAGCUAAUCCGACAUAGGCUCAUCCGAUAGCGCGAGGCCCGAAGGUCCCCCGCUUUCCCCCGUAGGGCGUAUGCGGUAUUAGCCUGGGUUUCCCCAGGUUAUCCCCCACUACCGGGCAGAUUCCUAUGCAUUACUCACCCGUCCGCCGCUCGCCACCAGGGAGCAAGCUCCCCGUGCUGCCGCUCGACUUGCAUGUGUUAGGCCUGCCACCAGCGUUCAAUCUGAGCCAGAAUCAAACUCUGA